GGAGAGAUGGCUGAGUUCGGUUGAAGGCGCUCGACUCGAAAUCGAGUAAACGGUGUUGAGCCGUUUCGUGGGUUCGAAUCCCACUCUCUCCGCCA
rnacentral:tRNA from 1 species